UACGAAGGGGGGCUAGCGUUGCUCGGAAUCACUGGGCGUAAAAGCGCACGUAGGCGGCUUUCUAAGUCAGGGGGUGAAAUCCUGGAGCUCAACUCCAGAACUGCCUUUGAUACUGGAGAGCUAGAGUCCGGAAGAGGUGAGUGGAACUGCGAGUGUAGAGGUGAAAUUCGUAGAUAUUCGCAAGAACACCAGUGGCGAAGGCGGCUCACUGGUCCGGUACUGACGCUGAGGUGCGAAAGCGUGGGGAGCAAACAGG
rnacentral:rRNA from 1 species